GCCGCGGUAGCUCAGCUGACAGAGCAUCUGCCCGGUAUGCAGAGGGUCGCCGGUUCGAUUCCGGCUCGCUGCG
rnacentral:tRNA from 1 species